rnacentral:miRNA from 1 species
AGAGGUAGUUGAAGUAGCCAGCGA